AAGGAUCAUUAGUAUUCAGCAUCGCUUUACCCACAGUCAAGUGGGACGGGGAGAAUCCUCAGGAAGCUCCCUCGCCGGCGGGGAAGCCACUUGCCCUCCCGGCGUUAACCGAAACCACCCUCACCCUGUGUACCUUCCCACGUUGCUUCCCCGGGGCGGCAGCCUGCCUGCCCCGGGCGCCCUCCCCCCUCCCCCCCCCGGAGAGGGCGGUCGCCCGGGAGACUCCCGGGGAAGGUCCCGAGCGAAACACAAGGCGGAAGCCACCCCAGUCUGACGGCAAUGGUGCCGACCAACAAAGCAAGCGAAAUGGAAAACGAAAACUUUCAACAACGGAUCUCUUGGUUCUC
rnacentral:misc_RNA from 1 species